rnacentral:snRNA from 1 species
GUCGCUUCUCGGCUCUAUGAGCUAAGAUCAAGCGCAGUAUCUGUUCUUAUCAGUUUAAUAUCUGGUAUGUUUUCUAUUUGAAAAUUAUAUUGCACGUGAAACUCAGCACUGGAGUAUUUACAAGUAUGCAACAGCAUACAUACACA